rnacentral:rRNA from 1 species
GUAGUCCGCACGAGCGCACCCUGUCUUAGUUUGCCAUCAGGUGAUGCUGGGAACUCUAAGGAGACUGCCGGUGACAAGCCGGAGGAAGGUGGGGAUGACGUCAAGUCAUCAUGGCUCUUACGUCCAGGGCUGCACACGUGCUACAAUGGCCGGUACAAAGGGUCGCGAUACCGCGAGGUGGAGCCAAUCCCAAAAAACCGGUCUCAGUUCGGAUUACAGUCUGCAACUCGACUGUAUGAAGCUGGAAUUGCUAGUAAUCGUGGAUCAGCAUGCCACGGUGAAUACGUUCCCGGGUCUUGUACAUACCGCCCGUCAAGCCAUGGAAGCUGGGAGUGCCCGAAGUCUGUGACCCAACCUAGUGAGGGAGCAGCCGAAGGUAAGUUCGGUGACUGGGGCUAAGUCGUAACAAGGUAGCCGUAGGGGAACCUGCGGCUGGAUCACCUCCUUU